GAUGAACGCUAGCGGCAGGCUUAACACAUGCAAGUCGAGGGGCAGCGUGGGAUAGCAAUAUCCUGGCGGCGACCGGCGGAAGGGUGCGUAACGCGUGAGCGACAUGCCCGUUGCCCGGGGACAACCGGUGGAAACGCCGACUAAUCCCCGAUGGGAUAUUGUGCCGCAUGGCACGAUAUUGAAAGUUACGGCGGCGACGGAUUGGCUCGCGUCCGAUUAGCUGGUUGGCGGGGUAACGGCCCACCAAGGCUGCGAUCGGUAGGGGUUCUGAGAGGAAGGCCCCCCACAAUGGGACUGAGACACGGCCCAUACUCCUACGGGAGGCAGCAGUGAGGAAUAUUGGUCAAUGGGCGGAAGCCUGAACCAGCCAUGCCGCGUGCGGGAAGGAGGCCCUAUGGGCUGUGAACCGCUUUUGCCUGGGGGCAAUAAGGGCGUCGCGCACGUCCGAUGAGAGUACCAGGCGAAUAAGCAUCGGCUAACUCCGUG
rnacentral:rRNA from 1 species